UACGUAGGGACCGAGCGUUGUCCGGAUUCAUUGGGCGUAAAGAGCUCGUAGGCGGCUGUUCUAGUCGAACGUGAAAACUCGGAGCUCAACUCCGAGCCUGCGUUCGAUACUGGAUGGCUAGAGUCUGGUAGGGGGAUCUGGAAUUCCUGGUGUAGCGGUGGAAUGCGCAGAUAUCAGGAGGAACACCGGUGGCGAAGGCGGGAUCCUGGGCCAGUACUGACGCUGAGGAGCGAAAGCGUGGGGAGCGAACAGG
rnacentral:rRNA from 1 species